rnacentral:sRNA from 1 species
AUGAACUUGGAGAUCAAAUUCCUCAAUUUAUCCACAGAACAGAUACAGCACAGGCAUUAGAUGUGCAAGGUUUUCCCUUCCUUCCCACUAUGUCUCCACCCUGAGCUGUCUCAGCUUAAAAGAACUGUUGAAUCAUGGUCAAUUAGAUAAUCUGUUUCAAUUUGUUUUUUCC